AUUGAACGCUGGCGGCAUGCUUUACACAUGCAAGUCGAACGGUAACAGGCCGCAAGGUGCUGACGAGUGGCGAACGGGUGAGUAAUGCAUCGGAACGUGCCCAGUCGUGGGGGAUAACGCAGCGAAAGCUGCGCUAAUACCGCAUACGAUCUAUGGAUGAAAGCGGGGGACCGUAAGGCCUCGCGCGAUUGGAGCGGCCGAUGUCAGAUUAGGUAGUUGGUGGGGUAAAGGCUCACCAAGCCAACGAUCUGUAGCUGGUCUGAGAGGACGACCAGCCACACUGGGACGGAGACACGGCACAGACUCCUACGGGAGGCAGCAGGGGGGAAUUUUGGACAAUGGGCGCAAGCCUGAUCCAGCAAUGCCGCGUGCAGGAAGAAGGCCUUCGGGUUGUAAACUGCUUUUGUACGGAGCGAAAAGGUUUCCUCUAAUACAGGGGGCUCAUGACGGUACCGUAAGAAUAAGCACCGGCUAACUACGUGCCAGCCGCCGCAGUAA
rnacentral:rRNA from 1 species